rnacentral:rRNA from 1 species
CCUACGGGAGGCAGCAGUGAGGAAUAUUGGUCAAUGGACGAGAGUCUGAACCAGCCAAGUAGCGUGAAGGAUGACUGCCCUAUGGGUUGUAAACUUCUUUUAUAUGGGAAUAAAAUGUUCCACGUGUGGGAUUUUGUAUGUAUCAUAUGAAUAAGGAUCGGCUAACUCCGUGCCAGCAGCCGCGGUAAUACGGAGGAUCCGAGCGUUAUCCGGAUUUAUUGGGUUUAAAGGGUGCGUAGGUGGAUUGUUAAGUCAGUUGUGAAAGUUUGCGGCUCAACCGUAAAAUUGCAGUUGAAACUGGCAGUCUUGAGUACAGUAGAGGUGGGCGGAAUGCGUGGUGUAGCGGUGAAAUGCUUAGAGAUCACGAAGAACUCCGAUUGCGAAGGCAGUUCACUGGACUGCAACUGACACUGAGGCUCGAAAGUGUGGGUAUCAAACAGGAUUAGAUACCCGUGUAGUC